rnacentral:rRNA from 1 species
CGCCUCUUGACAAACCAUAAGAGGUCCAGCCUGCCCAGUGACAAAGUUCAACGGCCGCGGUACCCUAACCGUGCGAAGGUAGCAUAAUCACUUGUUCUUUAAAUGAGGACUCGUAUCAACGGCACUACGAGGGCUAUACUGUCUCCUUUUUCCAAUCAGUGAAACUGAUCUCCCCGUGAAGAAGCGGGGAUCAAAAUAUAAGACGAGAAGACCCCAUGGAGCUUUAAACUCACCAUGCACCUCUGUGCCCUCAUACCCUCAGACACAAGAGACCUGCAUGCUAGUUUUAGGUUGGGGGGACCACGGAGUAUAAUUUAACCUCCAUAACAAAUGGGCUAAUACCCUUAUCCACGAGACACAACUCUAAGAAUUACUAAACUAAUGCUUAUGACCCGAUAUUCGAUCAAUGAACCAAGUUACCCUGGGGAUAACAGCGCAACCUACUUCAAGAGCCCAUAUCGACAAGUAGGUUUACGACCUCGAUGUUGGAUCAGGGUAUCCCGGUGGUGCAACCGCUACCGAUGGUUCGUUUGUUCAACGAUUAAAACCCU